rnacentral:tRNA from 1 species
GCCUUCGUAGUGUAGUGGUCAGCACGCUGGACGCGUGUUCCAGAGGCCCGUGGUUCGAGUCCUGGCGAAGGCG